UACAGAGGUCCCAAGCGUUGUUCGGAUUUACUGGGCGUAAAGGGUGUGUAGGCGGUUGUUUAAGUUUGGUGUGAAAUCUCCCGGCUCAACUGGGAGGGUGCGCCGAAUACUGAAUGACUUCGAGUACGGGAGAGGAAAGUGGAAUUCCUGGUGUAGCGGUGAAAUGCGUAGAUAUCAGGAGGAACACCGGUGGUGUAGACGGCUUUCUGGACCGUAACUGACGCUGAGACACGAAAGCGUGGGUAGCAAACAGG
rnacentral:rRNA from 1 species